CCCGGUUUCCCGGCCGCGUUUUCCCGGUUUCCCCAGCCGCGUUUUCCCGGUUUUCCCGAACCAGAAGUCGUCCACUCAACGAUAAAAGAACCCGCGCCCGUGCGGUUUGUUACAAGUCCGGCGCCGAAGACCCCCAGUGAUCCGAUCGAACUUCCAGCGGUUACCGCCGCGAAGAAGCAACCAGUCAACCAGUACGGUUUUCCGGUAAUCCCGUGCCCGGAACCAUCGUAGAUGACGUGAUCACAUUUCUUGAACGCAACGACUUCCACCUGAUUUCCAAGAACGUCCGCCAGGGAACCGUCUCGCCCACCUCAUACAACUGGACGCGGACAAGCUGCAGCAGUACUCGUUGCCCGUGUUGUCGGAAUGGAGCAGGAAUCGGACACUGAAGGGGGGGCAGGCCGGCAAGAAAAUCAAUUAAGAAAAAGCCACGGCUGGGGAGUUCAAUUCCGUCCCGCGGGAAGCGGGUUACGCCAAUGAAGAAGACGUCGCUGACGUUUGCCAUUUUCGGCACCAGUAUUAACCGGAUUGGGGUGCAGAAGAUAUGGGGGAGGACCGGAGAAGCAGCAGCUGAGGCGAUGCAAAACAUCAACCGCAACCCGCUGUCACCCGUUUACCGACGACAAUGACCGCACCGAGAAACCCGUAAACGUGAAACACCUCAUCAUUUCGCCUUCAAUACCGCGUCCGCUACUACAAGUCCAGCCCAACAAAGUGAAUCUCCUCUACGAGAGUGUCAUGCAGCAGCAUCCCCUCAAUCCGACGUACCAGACCGUACCAAGCUGCCCAACGUGACGCUCGGGUUCUCCUCCCUGCCGCGAACGUUCUAUUUUCCCGCUCGAAGGACCUGCUGCCAUGGUAUGAGAGCGACGUCGUCGUUCGGGACCAAAAUGUGCGGCCAAAGACGGUUGUGGACCAGUCGGUUCCGCCGGCCAAGCGACAACCUUCAAGUACUAGUUUGGCCAGAACGAUAAUGUGGUGCCGAAUUCCUAGCAACAUCCUCCAUCAGCACCAGUUGUUCCAGAGAUUCUGCACAGCGGGGUUCAGUGUGUGGUUCCCGUUCCCCCCUAACUGAGAUCUCGAACAACCCAAAUCCGGUCAUCAACAGUCAAGUGAAACAAAAAAAAAACAAAAAUACACAGCUGCAAAAUAUGAAAGUAAAAAAAA